CUGGGACUGGAGUCCAGAGGUGUGGUCUUCCGCCCUGGACCACCCACCCAAGCAAGGACAGCAAGAGAGACCCUCGGCUGCUGAGCAGUUCCUGUCCCAUCUCAGUCCCCGAUACUGAGCAUCUCCCUCACAGUUUCCAUCCCAGACCCCCAGAACAACAGGAGGGGCUUGGGGAGCCCUGCUCUCUUGAACACCAUCAAUAAAGUUCACUGCGCCCC